rnacentral:lncRNA from 1 species
ACAAUAUCCAGUGACAGUGCUCUAAGUAUUGGUUUCUUGCUUGUCAUGUUCCACUUAUUUUUUUCAUGACUUGCUAGUUGCAUUUUUUCACAUGCUCAUUCUCUUGAUUGAAUGCUCUGCUAUUUGCUUUAGCGGAUGGCCCUAGCUGGAGCUGAAAGGUUUUAGAAGAUGGUUCUGCAAGGAGAAGAUCCAAGACCUAGG